GGGUGUAAAUCCCUAAAACUGCCCGCUGACGGCCUUACACGGACGCUGCUUGCAUGGCGGGGUAUUGCGCUAUCCCCGUUUCAUGUGUCGGGCCAAAGUAGUUUAGACGCGCACCAACAAGACAACUAUGCGGAGGGCGAAUAAAAAUAUUAUGACCA
rnacentral:sRNA from 12 species